rnacentral:tRNA from 2 species
GUAUAGGUGUUUGGUAGCUUACAAAGCCCGUAACCCCAAGGUUACGGGUUCGAU